rnacentral:rRNA from 1 species
AUUGAACGCUGGCGGCAGGCCUAACACAUGCACGUCGAGCGGGACGACGGACGGAGGAGUAAUGCCUAUGAAUCUGCCUGGUAGGGGGUGAUAAGGACCGGAAAUGGGCGCUAAGACCGAAUACUGUCAGAAGGGCAGAGGGCGGAUUAGCUAGAUGGUGGGGUAAAGGCCUACCAAGGCGACGAUCCGUAGCUGGUCUGAGAGGAUGAUCAGGCACACUGGAACUGAGACACGGUCCAGACUCCUACGUGAGGCAGCAGUGGGGAAUAUUGGACAAUGGGCGAAAGCCUGAUCCAGCCAUGCCGCGUGUGUGAAGAAGGUCUUCGGAUUGUAAAGCACUUUAAGUUGGGAGGCGUUACCAACAGAAUAAGCACCGGCUAACGUCGUGCCAGCAGCCGCGGUAAUUC